UCUCUAUCUGUCAAUUCAGCACUUCAUCUCUCUCUCUCUCUGAAGAAACAUGUUUCGUGAAGGGCCAGGGCCUGGAGGUCCCUGGGCACCUCCACCGGGAGAAUGCUGUUGCUGCAGCGGCUGUUUGGCAGAUCUGUUGAAAAUUCUGUGCUGCUGUUGGUUGUUGGAAGCUGUUUGUGGUUGCUGUUGCAGUCCAUUUGGUUAUGGGCCUCCUGGACCUCCCGGUCCACCUCCACCCUUUUGAUUCUUACUUCUCAAAUCCUUUAUUAGAGUACAUUUAACUAGUCUUCUUGUUUUGCUCCAAAAAUAAUAAUUUUGUAGUAUGGUUCUCUGAGUUUCUGAACUUAUUGUUUGUACACUUCUUUGUAGUUGCUGGUAUUAUGACUAAAAUCUAAAUUUCAUACUAAA